CCAGGAGGCCCCAUGGCAGCGAGACCAGCGCCAGUACAAGAACCAUUGCUCUCAAGGUUUAGAGAGAAAUGCGAGCAUGCAGGUUUGCUUCGCUAGUAUAGAGUCUGAUUGGAGUGGACUUUUACUGGAGACGGUAUUAAUUAGGUAUCAGGUUAUAUAGACGUGUCGCCGAGGUGCCGUAGUCCAACAAUCGUGCCGAUUUGUUUAUGGUUUGUUCAAGUUUAGUGUAAGAUGAGUGCGGUCAGUCAGCCUGCCGGCGGUCAUGUUGCCUUGCUCGGAAGGAACUUGGUGGGGGAGAAAUUCCGACGGGAUCGGCGUGGUCGGUGACGAGCGGGAUGGACCCCACGUGAACUCAGAUUGCUCGGUCUUCCUGAAAUAUAUCGGAGAGCGAAUUUUGAUCAAGGAAACAAGGUCACGCUAUGGACAUGGGCCAGUAGGCUUUUGUUCGUUGGAACUAGUCUUAAUAAACUAGACAUGGGCUAGUUAAUCAGGUGUUUAUCUUCGGACUCCGGCCACUAGCCCCUUCUGUCUCCGCCCUUGCUCGCCAUGGCCGCCGCUCCUCCUUCGGCUGCGGCUCCCGGAUGCGCUACCUUCCAGUACAAUACAUGUAUCUGGCACCUGCAUCGCCGUCGUGCGCUCGAACUCAGGCCGCGGUGAAGAGGGUGGCGAGGGGUUCCGGUGGUCAGCGACGUAUGCAAGGAGAGGCUUGUUAUCGGCGGGGUCGGCCAGGAGAAGCUGGUUGGCGGUGAACUCCCCUGCACCGACUACCGAAGGUCGAAGAUGAAUACGACACUUUGAGGUCGCACUCCAUGAGCAAAGCCAUUUUCUGUUUGCUUGCAAUGAGUUCAGACUUGCAUCGUUGCAGAAACACAUAUGCCAAAUUAGCAAUUACUGUAACUGAUUCCUAUCUUAUUGCAAAGAUGCACGGCUGGUAAUGUUGCUGGUUUUGGAUGUGUGACAAAUUUGGUUAAUGUUGCUGGUUUUGCAUGUAUGACUGAGUGGUCAUUACAUUGUUUAUGGUCAUUCUGCUGAUUGGAAAUAAUUCAAAUGAAAAGAAACCAAACGUUGUAUGCGUGUGUGAUCGAGUGGUCAUUGUACAUUCUUUAUGUAUGACUGGCCAUGGCCAUGGUUAGUAUUGAGGUUG